rnacentral:rRNA from 1 species
AUUCCAGCUCCAAUAGCGUAUAUUAAAGUUGUUGCAGUUAAAAAGCUCGUAGUUGGAUUUGUGGUGUGCCCGGUCGGCCUUUGCUCUUUGAGUGAUUGUGCUGUUACUGGUCUGCCAUGUUUGGGUGGAAUCUGUGUGGCAUUAAGUUGUCGUGCAGGGGAUGCCCAUCUUUUACUGUGAAAAAAUUAGAGUGUUCAAAGCAGGCUUAUGCCUCUGAAUAUAUUAGCAUGGAAUAAUGAUAUAGGACCUUGGUACUAUUUUGUUGGUUUGCGCACUGAGGUAAUGAUUAAGAGGGACAGUUGGGGGUAUUUGUAUUCCAUUGUCAGAGGUGAAAGUUUUGGAUUUUUGGAAGACAAACUACUGCGAAAGCAUUUACCAAGGAUGUUUUCAUCA